AGUGAACGCUGGCGGUAGGCCUAACACAUGCAAGUCGAACGGCAGCACAGUAAGAGCUUGCUCUUACGGGUGGCGAGUGGCGGACGGGUGAGGAAUACAUCGGAAUCUACUUUUUCGUGGGGGAUAACGUAGGGAAACUUACGCUAAUACCGCAUACGACCUACGGGUGAAAGCAGGGGAUCUUCGGACCUUGCGCGAUUGAAUGAGCCGAUGUCGGAUUAGCUAGUUGGCGGGGUAAAGGCCCACCAAGGCGACGAUCCGUAGCUGGUCUGAGAGGAUGAUCAGCCACACUGGAACUGAGACACGGUCCAGACUCCUACGGGAGGCAGCAGUGGGGAAUAGUGGACAAUGGGCGCAAGCCUGAUCCAGACAUACCGCGUGGGUGAAGAAGGCCUUCGGGUUGUAAAGCCCUUUUGUUGGGAAAGAAAAGCAGCAGGUUAAUACCACGCUGUUCUGACGGUACCCAAAGAAUAAGCACCGGCUAACUUCGUG
rnacentral:rRNA from 1 species